rnacentral:rRNA from 1 species
UACGGGGGGGGCAAGCGUUGUUCGGAAUUACUGGGCGUAAAGGGCUCGUAGGCGGCCAACUAAGUCCGACGUGAAAUCCCCAGGCUUAACCUGGGAACUGCGUCGGAUACUGGAUGGCUUGAAUUCGGGAGAGGGAUGCAGAAUUCCAGGUGUAGCGGUGAAAUGCGUAGAUAUCUGGAGGAAUACCGGUGGCGAAGGCGGCAUCCUGGACCGACAUUGACGCUGAGGAGCGAAGGCUAGGGGAGCAAACGGG